rnacentral:rRNA from 1 species
AUUGAACGCUGGCGGCAGGCCUAACACAUGCAAGUCGAAUGGUAACAGGAAACAGCUUGCUGUUUCGCUGACGAGUGGCGGACGGGUGAGUAAUGUCUGGGAAACUGCCUGAUGGAGGGGGAUAACUACUGGAAACGGUAGCUAAUACCGCAUAACGUCGCAAGACCAAAGAGGGGGACCUUCGGGCCUCUUGCCAUCAGAUGUGCCCAGAUGGGAUUAGCUAGUAGGUGGGGUAACGGCUCACCUAGGCGACGAUCCCUAGCUGGUCUGAGAGGAUGACCAGCCACACUGGAACUGAGACACGGUCCAGACUCCUACGGGAGGCAGCAGUGGGGAAUAUUGCACAAUGGGCGCAAGCCUGAUGCAGCCAUGCCGCGUGUAUGAAGAAGGCCUUCGGGUUGUAAAGUACUUUCAGCGGGGAGGAAGGGAGUAAAGUUAAUACCUUUGCUCAUUGACGUGACCCGCAGAAGAAGCACCGGCUAACUCCGU